rnacentral:rRNA from 1 species
AUUGAACGCUGGCGGCAGGCCUAACACAUGCAAGUCGAGCGGAUGCGCGGCGCUCGCUCUUGGAUUCAGCGGCGGACGGGUGAGUAAUGCAUAGGAAUAUGCCCGGUCGUGGGGGAUAACAUCCCGAAAGGGGCGCUAAUACCGCAUACGUCCUGAGGGGGAAAGUGGGGGAUCUUCAGACCUCGCGCUAUUAGAUGAGCCUAGGUCGGAUUAGCUAGUUGGUGGGGUAAAGGCCUACCAAGGCGACGAUCCGUAACUGGUCUGAGAGGAUGAUCAGUCACACUGGAACUGAGACACGGUCCAGACUCCUACGGGAGGCAGCAGUGGGGAAUAUUGGACAAUGGGCGAAAGCCUGAUCCAGCCAUGCCGCGUGAGUGAAGAAGGUCUUCGGAUUGUAAAGCUCUUUAAGUAGGGACGAAGGGCUGUGAUUUAAUACCGUCCUGUAUUGACGUUACCUAAAGAAGAAGCACCGGCUAACUACGUG